GACGAACGCUGGCGGCGUGCUUAACACAUGCAAGUCGAGCGGAAAGGCCCUUUCGGGGGUACUCGAGCGGCGAACGGGUGAGUAACACGUGAGUAAUCUGCCCCUGGCUUUGGGUUAGCCACCGGAAACGGUGAUUAAUACCGGAUACGACCACUUCUCGCAUGGGAUGGUGGUGGAAAGUUUUUCGGCCAGGGAUGUGCUCGCGGCCUAUCAGCUUGAUGGUGAGGUAAUGGCUCACCAGGGCUUCGACGGGUAGCCGGCGUGAGAGGGUGAGCGGUCACACUGGGACGGAGACACGGCCCAGACGGCUACGGGAGGCGGCAGUGGGGAAUAUUGGAAAAUGGGCGGAGGCCGGAUCCAGCAACGCCGCGUGAGGGAUGACGGCCUUCGGGUUGUAAACCUCUUUCAGCAGGGACGAAGCGCAAGUGACGGUACCUGCAGAAGAAGCACCGGCCAACUACGUGCCAGCCGCCGCCGUAA
rnacentral:rRNA from 1 species